UAGUCAAAUUUUGUAGCCCACCUAGCAGUGCCUAUCUAGCAAAACAAUUGCUAGAUACGCUAGCUAGCGUAUUUAGCAUCAACAAACAAGACCGCCCCCGUCCCCGCCCCAUCCCGCUCUUGCGAAUGUUAAUUAGGGCUAAACCACGUGAGCGCCAGCCCACAGAUACCGACCUCACUGUAUCAUCUGAGGAAUUAACCACGUGGGCACCAGCCCACUUUCACGACUCUAUCUGGUAAGCCAUCCCUGCAACAUGCCUUUCUUAAUAUUAUAAUUAGGUGCACGCCCUACUGUGUUGGAGUAAACCACGUCAGAGUGAUACCGACCUCACUGUGUCAUCUGAGGAAUUAACCACGUGGGCACCAGCCCCCAUAUCGUAAGCCAGCCUCCAGCAAGUCCCUCGCACGCGCAACACGCGCUUCUUAUUAUAAUUAGGUUGCAUGCCUACUGUAGAUUAGAAGGAACUACAUAAAAGCACAGUUGCAAGAUCGUAUUUUAAUUAUGACUGAACUACCCCCCAGUCCCACUACAGCAGCACCCCAUCAUCUCACGAAGGUUGAACCAGCCCACGAAGCUGUCGUUAUACUUCUUAAUAAGUUUACCUCCACCCUCUCGCAGAUUUUAAACCUGACCAGUUGUGGCUGACCACGUGGGGGCACCAACCCCUUUGCUUGCCUGUAGGAUGCACUCACUGAAUGUCAUCUUAAUUGUGUAGUUCCAUCAGAAUGAUAUACCUCUUGUUUUAAACAAACUACGUUAACAAUGAAUAAUUAGCUUAGUUAUGAAAUCAGAAAUGUGCCAUAACCGUUCAUCCAUCUAAGGAUCUUAGUAAAAUGAAAUAAUAAUAAGAUUACGAACAUUAAUUCUUUAUGGAUAGUUGCACAAUUCUUACUCGAUCCUGCAAAAGCGUAUACGAAGAGGGGAGUCAAGUCCUGUAGGUCCCAUAAACAAAUACAGAGGAAGCGUGGACCUCCACGCGAAAGCUUGUACAAAUUAAACUUAAACAAAAAUCUUCAGUGUCGGCUUCUGUAUUUUGUUUAUUGGAUCCCUGCAAGGAUAAAACGAUAGCUCGAUUCGUACAUGGCACAACAUUGUUCAAAUAUUUUUUUUCUUAUUACGUUUUAAAGUCGACAAGUAGGACACCUCGCUAUCGUCUACCUAAUGGAAAUGGUUGAUGAGCCAAUCGACUCCUUCCGAAGUGCGAGGAGACAGUAUAUACUUAAACUUCAGAGCGCUAAGAGCGUAACCGGAAAUAAAAAAAAAAGCCUACAGCUCUGACCUUCGACAACCGAUCGAAAAAAGAAAAAUGCACCGGCCCCCCCGCCACAACAUCGUUGCGAAUUGCAAGGAUAUGGCAUAGCUAGUAUUGAGAAGUGAUUAUGGACAGGGUGCUAAGGGCGUGUAACCGACAAAAGGCUUACCGCUUCGAAAUUCGACAUCCGACGCAUCAUGGGGGAACAUCAUGAUAUUCAUUGUAGAGAUUUCAUUAAACAUGCUUGGACUUGCAGUCGACCAGGCUACCUCUCCCCAUUAAUCCGUUUUUGUGUACGACACGGAUUAACUCUCGAGAAAUGAUAAGAUCACUUUUCCGUAUUCCAUUAAGAUGUUGUUGUGUUAGCGACGCUUUGCAUAUUAGACGACGGGAUGGCUGAAGGUCACGCUGUUUCCACUCAGACUGUGAUAUCUCUUCUGCUGAUUUGCAUGAGUACACGAGCAAGUCGAAUAAACGCUCGAAGAUACACGAUGUUAUUGCAAUAGCAAGCAUUUGCAUAUAAGACAACUCGUUGGAUAAAGGUCGUACCUUUUUACUCUAGCCGGUGUCGCCUUUGCAACUCGAAAACAGGAAAAAUAAUUACUAUGCGAUACAUGUUGCGCCGCAGGAAAAAGAAGAAGAAAAAAAGACGCAGUAUACUAAUGACAGCCACCUCCAUGCUGACUGCUUUGACUUCUGAACAGAGCGAGCCAGCCCGGGUAAAGCCGUAAUUACCUCUCAAGGAUAAACGAUAAUAUCACUUUCCUCAUCACGUCUUUGGGGCGAGACGGUCGACGCUGCACUCUCAUAGGCAAACGAAGCGACUUCUAUAUAAGACGGUUCGUCCGCAACGCUUUCCGGACUGAGCUGGAAUGUCAAGUGAAUGCCACUUGAUUGUUUUCAGGUGGAUUCACUUGACAUUCCAGCUCAGGUUUUUCCGUGCGGGUGUUUGACUGGAAAAGCAGACUAAGGUGAGUACAUGCUUUUUUAUCUUCUCUUGUUAUAAGUUCUUCCCCUGUGAGCGUGCAAGGUCACAGCCAUUUAUGGAAUGCAUGUAGGUGAAAGAAAAAAAGAAAAGAGGUUCAUUCCUUCCCGCUGCCGACAUGCAAUCUUUGUGAUUUUAAAGUGCACCUUCUUAGAUCAUCGCAGUAGAUGAAAUGAAAAAAUAAACGAUUGCAAACAGUACAACAUUAUUUUUUUUAUUUAGGACAUUGCAUUGCGUUGUAUGUUUUGGAGGACAUUGCUAAUUUACAAGUCGGCUUCACCUAACUUCUACGUGCGUUGCGGGAAGUCAACGUUAGGAAAUGCUCAGUCUUGCUGGAUUGCUUGUUUCUUUGCAUUUCAAUUCAGCGGAACGGUGUUUUUUUAAAUUGUUUGACUUUGGUUCUUCAUAAAACAUAUUUUCCAGUUCAUCGUCUUUGUUGUAACUACUCCGACGAGGUUGAAGGGUCAUCUCACAUUUUGGGCUUGUAAGAUCGACUUCUUCUAAGCAUUUUUUUUAGCUUCUCUUUUUCAUUUCAUGUUCGGGUAACAACAGAACACUUCACCUGCACGUCAAUGGCAAACAGGUCAGAAAGAAAGGAAUGUGUCUACCUUCAUUUGUGAGAUGUAGCUAGUCUUCACCCAACUCCUACGUGCAUUGGGGGAAAGCCUACUUUAGGAAAUGUUCAGUCUUGUUACUGCAUGUUUCUUUGCAUUUAAACUUAGCGAAACGGUGUUUUUUUUAUCGUUUGAUUUUGCUUUGACAUAAAACAUAUUUUCCAGUUCAUCUUCCUUCUUUUGCUGUAACUACUCCGAAGAGGUUGAAGGGAAGAGUUUGACAUCUUCCUUGACAACAAGGCAAAAAUGUGUGCUAUACAAUGGAGAAGAGGUGGAAAACUUUUUUUUUUCAAGUUAAUCCACUCGGGAUUCCAGAUGAAGAUUUUUUUUCUCCGUGAGAGUGUUUGACUGGAAAGACAGACUGUGGAGACGUGUUUGAGACGACACACAGGCUGCAUCCGAAAUUCGUGUGUGUAACCUCUUCUCCAUCUGCCACACACAUCUCUACCUAGCACAGGCUGCUCUUCAUCUGCGUCUGAUGAUGACAACCAUGCGCCAUCAAGCCGAGGAUCAACCUCAGGCCAUGUUGUGUCAUCGGCGGCUGACUUGUCUUGACUGGUCAUUACAAACCAAGUUCAUUCUAUACAGCAAGAGGAGAAAGCAAAUUGUCAUCAUAACAGCGAAGCCUCCAUAACACAAGUAAGCUAUGUCAUCCGUCAUGGAAAAGUUG